rnacentral:rRNA from 1 species
GGUCGUUACGUACCAGUCCCGGACGAACCUUAGGAAACUAGGGGUGCUUCCUAUCUAGGAAGAAUCUGGAGACAGGUGACGUGCAUGGCUGGUCGUCAGCUCGUGUCGUCGAGAGUGUUGGGUUAAGUCCCGCAACGAGCGCAACCCUUGCCUUUAGUUGCCAGCAGUUCGGCUGGGCACUCUAAAGGGACUGCCGGUGUUAAACCGGAGGAAGGUGGGGAUGACGUCAAGUCCUCAUGGCCUUUAUGACCAGGGCUACACACGUACUACAAUGGCCGAUACAAAGGGCAGCGACACUGCGAGGUGAAGCCAAUCCCGUAAAAUCGGUCUCAGUCCGGAUUGGAGUCUGCAACUCGACUCCAUGAAGUUGGAAUCGCUAGUAAUCGUGGAUCAGCAUGCCACGGUGAAUACGUUCCCGGGCCUU